UUGUAUUCCCUACUGUAUAUCACAUUAUUGUGUGAGAAACACGACAGAUUUCAAACAAUAAAAUACAAAUACAUUUCCCUUCAAUUCAAUUUAAGCCCUAUCCUACCACAAGAUUUUUUGGGUUAGGGGUGUAAUUGGCUUCCAAACUGGGACAAGGGGGGAUAAAAUCUUAUACAAAUUUAUGAAAAAGGAAAUGUGGGAACAUAGGUCCUAAUUUUGAGAAAAUUUGGGGAAUUUGGGGAAUAUAGGGCUGUGGGAACAUUGGCAUGCUCCCCAUUGGAAAAGCAUGAGCAACUAUGCCAUCAGCAAAUAUCAGCUAGCUGCGUUAGCUAGCUGACUUAGCAGGUCCAUCGGUCAUCUUUAUCUAAGAUAUCUAAGUGAGGCCUUGUUGCAGUGCCAUCCCCUGAGGAGCGACAGCUGACCAUGACCAUCACACUGUGAGGAUGAGUCAAGUUUUUCUUCCUUUGGUUGAGUCACACUGACAACUUAGUUCAACUUCAUGGUGACUAACUGGGCAUAACCUUCUCCUGUCGUCAGCUUGCAUCUUUGAUUUUUUUUCUUGAUUUCCUGUGUGACUCCGAGGCAUUCCCCGCUCAGUGAUAUCAUUCUGUAGCUUUUAUGUAAAGUACCAUAACACUUCAUUUCAAUGGGGGAAAAAGAACUUGCACACUAGUCCAGUAGAGGAUAUGAAGUUUGUGUCUUUGUGCUAGAGCUGGACAGAAAACACUUGUUUAUUUCCAUUAGAGACAUCGAAUCGAUAGAAAGACAGAAAUACUACCUCCCCAUUACAGUCCACCCACUGCCCUAUCUUAGGUCAUACUGUUGGUGCGUACGUCACUGGGCUAAACAGGGCCCGGGAGUGGUAAUUGCUCUGUCUGCCCCAGACUGGCUGAAAGCAGGUGCAUCAUCUCUCCACUCAAUUUACUCCUAAUGUGUGUUACUGAUUGAACCGGCAAUGAGGGCAGGAAAAGUGACAAGGCCGGAUAGAAUCACCCCCUCCGUCCCCUCUGCACACAACUUUCCUCCUCCUCCUCUUCCCCCUCUUCUUCCCCACUUCCUUCCUGUGUUUAGAGUCGCCCAUGUGAAGUCCCUCCAGCGGUUCAUUAAUGGGGAAGGUUAAUGUCAGCACACGCGCUGCUCAUACAAACAGCACUUCCCCCUCCUCCCUCUGGCCCCACGUCACCUUUUCCACUCUCUCCGUCCCCCUCACAUCAGGGCACCGGCGCAGUCGUGACUAAGGGUCUCCCUUGGUGGCAGAGUGGAUGUCGUUUAGCUCUGUCCGCAUGCUGCUCGGGAUCUCUGCUCUCCAUCAGUGGGCUGGAAUAAACCCCCCCAGGUGUUCAUCUUCUCAAUACGCGCCUUAUGCUCCUGCAUCCAGGACGCCUUGUAAAAAGAUCUCAAGUGUUUUUUUUUUGUUUUUUUUUAUUCAACUUGCAUAACAGACUUUCACAACCUUGGCAAAUCCCAGAUCUCAAAUGUUACAAUUUCCAAUUCAGCCUCUUGUAAUUGUGUAGCAAUGCAGAUGUCACCAUUUGGUUAGUGUAUUGAUAUCUACAUAACUAACAUUUUGGAUAACAAAUACAGUCAUGUCAUUUUAGUUGAUGAAAGUGUCCAAUUUGCCAUUUUUAUGGCAGACGACUGGAACUGAGAUUGCCUCAGUCAGUGGUUCUAGUAUGCUCAUUGCAAUACAUUAACUGGUAAUUUUCCUUAACUGCGUUACGUGCUGAUGGACGACUGAGCGCAGAGGAUGCAGGAAAAAGUGAGAAAAACAUUUCCUGCGUAUCAGUAAUUGCCACUGCAUUUCCAUUGUACCAGCCAACAACACAAGUGCUCAGUUCAAAGUGCCAUGCCAGGUCUCUUUUUGUUUGAAGUUAUUUCUGCAAGUUGCUGAAUUGAUUUUAGUUCUUGCACAGUGAGGGCAAAGUUGCUUGUUCUUUUGUUUUUUUAAAAAGAUAUUUGCAGCUUACUCCUUCAUGGUAUUCUGCUGUCUAAAAUUCAAUUUGUCAGUUUGCCCGGUGCAAAAGUUGUCAUCUUGUCUAAAUGAGUGAUCCCAAGUAGAAUGUAAUUAUAUGUGUAAUAAUUUCCACAUUUAAGUGUCAAUAAACAACUAAACCUUU